UUGACUGGGUCGGUCGGCCCAUCUCGGGACCAGGCCAGGUGUUGUUGACUGGCCAAAUGCUUGAUAUUUAUUAUUAUUAUUAUUAUUAUUAUAACCACAGUGGAAUCGUGCAAGCGAUAAAAGCCCAUCCUAUAUAUUUUAUAUGAAAAA